rnacentral:rRNA from 1 species
UACAGAGGGUGCGAGCGUUGUCCGGAAUCACUGGGCGUAAAGGGCGCGUAGGCGGCCUGAUAAGUCGGGGGUGAAAUCCUGUGGCUUAACCACAGGGCUGCCUCCGAGACUGUCGGGCUCGAGCACAGUAGAGGCAGGUGGAAUUCCCGGUGUAGCGGUGGAAUGCGUAGAGAUCGGGAAGAACAUCGGUGGCGAAGGCGGCCUGCUGGGCUGUUGCUGACGCUGAGACGCGAAAGCGUGGGGGAGCGAACAGG